CACAGGGCAGAGCUCUUCCUCACCAUACACUGUCACUGUCAACCAGACCACCUACCAGCCAGGAGACACCAUCCAAGUGACUCUGUCAGGAACCAUCACCUAUAAAGGGUUUCUUCUGGAGGCCCAUGAGGAAGGACAGAACACCGCUGUGGGAACGUUCUCUCUCGGCAGUGGGACUGGGAUCGUUCUUGUGCCUUGCAAUGGGAUCGCAGCCUCUGGGGUGAGUCAAAGCAACAACCAGGCUAAAUCAUCAGUAACAGUCACCUGGACAUCACCAUCCUCAGCCUCAUUGGGCAACAUCGUAGUCAAGUCAACAUUUAUGCAGACCUCCAGGGUAUUUUGGAUUGCAGUGCCUAGCGUGACAGUAAAACGACUGUCCUCAGUUGUCACCACUACAAGAGCUCAAACAACACCAACUCUUGCUCCUACUACAACAACUACAGCUCCUAGUACAACAACUACAGCUCCUUAUACAACAACUACAGGUCCUAGUACAACAACUACAGGUCCUAGUACAACUACAGCUCCUACUACAACAACAACUAUUGCUCAACUACGGCUCCUAAUACAACAACUACAGCUCCUAACACAACAACUACAGGUCC